rnacentral:lncRNA from 1 species
AAGAAAGAUGUCUUCCUGUGGAGGAAACUGCAAUUGUGGAUCCGGCUGCAGCUGCGGCGGAGGGUAUUUCAACUCUCUAUCUCCGCGUCACUGAAUUCCUGUUCUUGCUCACCAUGUUCUUCCUCUUCUUUCGAAGAUCUUACUGUGUGUUACAGUCGGUAUGAUUCAAAGGGUUUUCACAAGGAGCAUCAUCUUUUGUGUCUUCCUCUGGUGUAGGUGCAAGAAGUACGCUGAUUUGGACGAGAAGAUGGUCAACUCUGAGACCAUGAUCCUUGGGGUUGCACCUGAGAAGGAGUAUGUUGGCAUAACAUGAUUGUUUCUUUUGGAUACAUCUUGUUUGUUUCAUUUGCCAUGAGAUAGUGAGAUCGGUUGAACAUUGCAGACACGUCCAAGGACCAGAGAUGGCUGCUGCAUCAGAGAAUGAAGGUUGCAAGUGUGGAUCUAGCUGCUCCUGCAACCCCUGCAACUGCUAAGUGUGAUGUCUCAUCAAAGAAUAAAACCCUAGGUGGACUGUGAUGUGUGGGUGUGGUGUUUUACCUGUGUGAUGUCUUCUUAGGUCGUCUGAGUGCAAUAAAACAAAGGCCAUAGUGGCAUAUAUUCCAUGAAAUGAUCUCCCUGUAUCAGUUGCUGCCAUGGCUGUUGAAUGUUCUACCUGUACUUAUAUGUGAUGGUUAUGAACUAUGUUGAUUGCUUGUGUGAAGGUUCCAAU